UACGAAGGGGACUAGCGUUGUUCGGAAUUACUGGGCGUAAAGGGCGCGUAGGCGGUGUGUCAAGUCAGGCGUGAAAGCCCCGGGCUCAACCUGGGAACAGCGCUUGAGACUGGCACGCUCGAGUUCGGGAGAGGAUGGUGGAAUUCCCAGUGUAGAGGUGAAAUUCGUAGAUAUUGGGAAGAACACCGAUGGCGAAGGCAGCCAUCUGGACCGACACUGACGCUGAGGCGCGAAAGCGUGGGGAGCAAACAGG
rnacentral:rRNA from 1 species